rnacentral:rRNA from 1 species
AGUGAACGCUGGCGGUAGGCCUAACACAUGCAAGUCGAACGGCAGCACAGUAAGAGCUUGCUCUUACGGGUGGCGAGUGGCGGACGGGUGAGGAAUACAUCGGAAUCUACUUUUUCGUGGGGGAUAACGUAGGGAAACUUACGCUAAUACCGCAUACGACCUACGGGUGAAAGCAGGGGAUCUUCGGACCUUGCGCGAUUGAAUGAGCCGAUGUCGGAUUAGCUAGUUGGCGGGGUAAAGGCCCACCAAGGCGACGAUCCGUAGCUGGUCUGAGAGGAUGGUCAGCCGCACUGGAACGGAGACACGGUCCAGACUCCUACGGGAGGCAGCAGUGGGGAAUAUUGGACAAUGGGCGCAAGCCUGAUCCAGCCAUACCGCGUGGGUGGAGAAGGCCUUCGGGUUGUAAAGCCCUUUUGUUGGUAAAGAAAAGCAGCAGGUUAAUACCCCGCUGUUCUGACGGUACCCAAAGAAUAAGCACCGGCUAACUUCGUG